rnacentral:lncRNA from 1 species
CGAUGAUUGUGCCAUGCAAUGAAGCAAGGGUGCAAAACAGCUGUGUGACUUUUUCUGUGUGAUUUUUCUUUUCUCCAGGUUGCCAGAACGUUGCUCUUUGAUAAAUUUAUGGCCUAUUUAGAUGUGUAUAUAUAUAUAUAGGAUUAAACUGAAAAUUCCAUGGAAAUCAAUUAUAUUGGACCAUCUACCUUUCAUUUUCUAAAGACCUAUCUAAAUACAACCC